GAAGGAGUAAAUAUUUUUGGUUAAAUAGUUAAAUUAUCAGUAUUUUUACAACUAAUAUUUGUUAGGUGAAAUUUUAAUUUUAGUUAUAAUUAAAAGAGUUGAAGCUAUGAAAUUUAUAUUAAAAACGAGGAUUAGAUACCCUCUUUUUUAAAUGUUAAUAUUAACCAGGGUAGUAAUAGUUAUGUUCUUGAAACCCAAAGCAAUUUGGCGGUAUUUUAUUCUUUUUAGAGGAACCUGUUCUAUAAUCGAUAAUCCACGAGGAUAAUUUACUUGCUUUUGUUUUCAGUUUGUAUACCUCCGUCAUAAGAGUAUCUUUUUAGAGUUAAUAUUCUAUUAAUAUUAAUUAUAAAAUGUCAGGUCAAGGUGCAACUUAUAAGCAAGCAGAAAUGGGUUACAAUAAAUYUAUUUAUACGGAUUAUAAAUUUUAUUUUUAUAAGAAGGUGGAUUUAAAAGUAAAUUUAAUUUCUUAUUAAUUUGAUUUUAGCUCUAAAAUAUGUACACAUCGCCCGUCGCUCUUAUUUUAAAAUAAGAUAAGUCGUAACAUAGUAGAAGUAUCGGAAGAUGUUUCUAGUAAGUU
rnacentral:rRNA from 1 species